UACGUAGGUGGCAAGCGUUGCUCGGAAUCACUGGGCGUAAAGCGCACGUAGGCGGCUUUCUAAGUCAGGGGUGAAAUCCUGGAGCUCAACUCCAGAACUGCCUUUGAUACUGGAGAACUUGAGUCCGGAAGAGGUGAGUGGAACUCCGGGUGUAGAGGUGAAAUUCGUAGAUAUUCGGAAGAACCCCAGUGGCGAAGGCGGCUCACUGGUCCGGUACUGACGCUGAGGUGCGAAAGCGUGGGGAGCAAACAGG
rnacentral:rRNA from 1 species